AAAUAAGAAGCAAAUAUUGCAUUUAGUUUCGACCUAAAAUUUUGGUUAUUAACCCUUAUUUU
rnacentral:tRNA from 1 species